UCACGUAUUGUUGUUGGUAGACGAGUAGGCCCAGUUCUGACGUGAGGUGAAUCUUUCUCCGCGUCCCUUGGAUAAUACUUGAAGCCGUUCAACAUCAUAAUUUUAAAUUGGUAAUGGUUGCAUCAGUAGUGCUCCAUUACUUCGAUUCCCUUUAUCUGCUGUGCUUCCUCAGUUCCUCUGUUGUUCACCGGGACCGGGACCUGGUGGAGAAUGAAAGCAUGUUUAGUUCCCAACUUUUUCUUUAAACUUUUAACUUUUCUAUCACAUUAAAAUUUUUCUACACAUAUAAACUUCUAAUUUUUUCAUCACAUCGUUUCAAUUUUAAUCAAACUUUCAAUUUUAACGUGAACUAAACACCCGAAAUAAUCGUGUCUUGUUCAAAGAAAGCAGGAUGAAGCAUUAUAUUAGCUUUAGGAAAUUAAAGGCACUCAGAAUUUUGUAGUUCUAGCUAUCCUUUCAAAAGAUGAUAAUUUUGUAGCCUAAAAAAUAGUAGCGGCACCGUUCACACCUAAAUUUGUUCUUAUUUUUCUCAAUGUGUCUCAAUGUGUAGGCUGAAUUUAAAUUUGAUUGGACUGAUAAAUGUCACUAUGUUCUACAUCAUUAAUUGUUUUUAGAAAUUUUCACAACUAUUUUCAUCUGAUUUAAAAGAAAAAGAUAUACAACGGGACAGCCACUCAAUAGACUGUACGAGGGGAGAUUGAGAAAGUCCGGAAUAAAAGGUGGCAAAGGGAACCACACAUAUUGGAGAAGGCAGCAAUCAAGACUCAAGAGGGCUGGUCAAAAGAGGUGUGGAAAGGGGGCAUGUAGUCUAAGAAACGAAUAUUGAUGUGGUUGCGAAGGUAUUUCAUGAAACGUUAAUAAAGCAUCGGAAAAAUAUUUCUAAUGGAUAUAAACCAUCAUUAUAUUUUUCUUAACAAUUUUCCUUUCUUGUUGGUAAGGAGGUUUGAUUGGGAACAAGCUCGACGUAGAUAGGCUGUUUCAGAAAAUAUUUUCCCUUUUUUAAGAGAGAGAGAGAGAGAGAGAGAGGGGGGUGUUCAUAGAUGUAUGUUUUUUCUUUCCUCUGAUCGUCUGCUAGUACUAAAUUUUAAUAACUAAUUAUGCAGACAUGGUAUAAUUCAAAGCAUUUAUUAGCUUAAUCAUUUCCACUUAUUAAUUAGCAUCAGUAGCCGAUCUAUCACCAUCACCAUGACUAUUGAAUUAAUAAGGAUUCUUGAUGGAUUGGGUACACAUAGACUUUGAGAAUUAUAGACGUUUAAGGAACAUUAUGGAACAAGUGCCACAAGGCCACAUCUAGGUAUACAUGUUGGUGAUAUCUCCACUACGUGAUUAUAUGUAGCACUCUGAUUUUUUAAAUAUAAGUUAUUUAGACUUUUACAUGAGAAUUAAGGAAACAAUUCAAUAUUGCCCCCAUUUUAGACUAUAUUGAAACAAAAUACGGAGUAUGAUUAAUUUAUUUAUGAGAGGGGUAACACAUUUAUUUGAGAAAAGAAAAUACGAGAGAAAAUAUGACAAAAGUACCUAGGAUUUCAAAAAAGGGGUUACAUUUAAGAAAGAGAUGAAAAAGGCUAAAAUGGCCUACAUUUGUAAUCUGAAGGAGCAAUUCUUUCAAUUAACAAUUGACUAGUAUUAGCAUGGAAGUGAUAUUGCACUGAAAAGAGAGAGAAGAACCUUAUAGGGUCAUGGGGAUAUAGAUAAGUGCUGUAACCAACUUAUAUAUAUGAGCCUGAAAAGAACAUCUUCCACAAUUACCUGCUUAUUAUUUACUUAUUCGUUGAAGUGGUAGAUAGAGUAUGUAUAUCGGUAUAUGAACCACUCGCACCUGCAAAGUAUAUGGCACAUAAUGUUUUUUACUUCAUUACAACGUCAACUGAAACGUCUCUGAAUAAAAGAAAAGGACAACUGAAAGCUUGAGACAAUAGCAACAUUUUCAUUUAUUUUUCCAAAUCCUACCUAAUUUUGCUCGUACCGUGAUUCAAUAAAAACAAAGUGUCGAACUAAGUAAAGUGAGCCAAGUUUUAAAAUUACGGAUGAGUUUGAGGAGAAGGGGACAGAGAAGAUUUAAAAGAUACGUAAAACGAGGUGAGCCAUUACCACAUGAUUAAUUGAGUAUUAACUAUUUUAAAUUUUAAAGGAUUAAUAUGAUUUUUAAAGCAACUUUUCUAUAGAAAUUUUUUUUACAAAAAACGCACUGCUUAGUAGUUUGGGAAGCGUGCGUGCGGAAAACCACGUGUAGUUCAAUUACUGGAGGAAUAAGUUUGCAACGAUCGACAACCUAUAUAUCCCAACUGAAGAUUGCGUAGCGUAUUCUCAAAAACUUAAAACAAAACAAAAAAACCUGAAGCUUGCGUACACCUCGGACGAUGCAUACUUAUCACUCCAAUCAACCCAUAUUGUUUUAGAUAAUGGAACAGUAUAACCAAUCAAUUCACAUGCUGUGAUGCUGAUCACGAUUAUCCAAACUGAGCUACUUGUUAAUUAGAUUAAGUUACAGCAGGCUCAAUCAUGUCGCAUAUAUUAGGCCAAUAAUUUCAUCAGAAUACCUGCAAUAAGGCAGUAGAAUAAUGUGUUCCACAUCAGAGAGCAAACAAGUAAACCUUUAAUUAGUAGUAGUAUUCUGUUUCCAUGUUGAUAUACUAACACAUUGAUUGAUUCUCAAAGUCAAAUGUAGCCAAGUCCAAUCUUAUAUAUGUACUUAUCGAUGGGAGAUAAGCACAUAUAAGCUAGUCAUCUACCUACGUCCACAAGUGGAGAAGAAAAACACGCGAAGCUGCACUAUUCCAAAUACUCACACCGAUUUUUAGUGUUUAACGCCAAUAAAUUUUAAACAUAUGUUUGCCUAUUUAUCUUAUUAAAAAAAUAUAUAUGCAAAAAUGUAAUCAUGUUUAAAUGACCUUAAAUAAAAAAAAGUUGACUUAUGCUUUUGAAAAUGCCAUGAGCUUUUUCAUUAGUUUUACUAUCAUGCAUGAACUCUUUAGUUUUAGGUAUCCUAAAAUUUAUUAAUUCGUAAAUUUCGAAUUAAUAAAUAUAAAGAAUAUGUGCUCAUGCAUUCCGAGCUUUUAAUUUAGUAUUUUGUUAAUUUAAUUUCUAAUUUCGAAAUUAAUAAUUAGCCAAUUGAAGUGGACUCCUUUUCUUUAUCUAAGCCGCUAUUUAGAAAACAACCAAUGCAUUUAACAUAUAAUUAAAACUUUAAUAUUUAUACUAUUUCAUCCAUUUUAAAUUACUUAUCGUUUUAGUUUUGUCCUAACUCAAACAUUUGUGUAUUUUUCAAUCAAUUUCUGAAAAUUUAUAUAGUUUAAUUUCAUAUGAUUUUUGUUUCUAGAUUCAUCUUGAAAAAUACUUUCGUGAUAUAUAACUCAAAUGUUAUUAAAAUAUACGAUUUUUUAAGAAACUAAUGGUAAAAGAUAACAUAUUUAAUUUAGGAUAAAGUUAAACUGAUAAGUAAUUUAAAAUAGAGAAACUCAAAGGAUCGAUAAACGGAGAGAGAGAAAAAAGGCUCGAAGCUAACAAGCUAGCGUCAUGCUUAUCUGACAAGUUCUUUGAAAAAUCCUACAGUACUUUGAGGAGGUACAUGGUUAUCUCAAGUACUUCAUCCUUCGCGAAAUAUACUCCCUUUGAUUAAAAAGACUUUAUUUUUUGUUAUCUCACACAUACCAAUAAAAAAACUAAAAUGCUCUUCACUUUUUUAAACUCCGAUAUAUUUGUCCAGCACAUUUUUAAACUCUAAUGCAUUUGUCUGCUAUUUUCUCAAACUCCAAUACAUUGAUUCUCUUAAAGAUAAAGUCUUCGUGGAGCAAAUAACUCCUAUACAAACUUAUCCAUCACAUUUUUAAACUUUAAUGCAUUUGUCCAUCAUUUUCUCAAGCUCCAAAUACAUUGAUUCUUUGAAAUAUGAUGUCAAAUAAAAUAGAGUAACAAUUUUUAGCCCUUGAAAUGGCUAUUAAGUACAAGUGUAAAAGACUUGUUUUUCUACUUGGUGGGUUCCGUGCAGAGCUAGGCUAGUUGGGAUAACAAUGAAGCCAGAGGGUAGUACGAGUGUAUGAGUAGUUUGCUGAUAGAAAUCAUCUUUCGAAGAUUGUUAUAUUUGAGAUACCAUUUGAACUCUAGAAGCAUGCUAUAUCCCAAAAUAUAAAAAGUAUUAGGGUUAAACACAUGUAUUAAGAAAAUAGGUAAAACUAAAUGAGAAAAUGUUGUGUUUAGUUAAAACAGGAAAUAAAUGGAUACAUUAAAAGUUAGAAGGUUGUCAUUGGGUGAAAACAAAAUGUAUGUGGAGAAGUUGUCAUAAUAAGAGAUAAAUUUUGAAUGCUAUAACUUCUAUAUUUUGGGAUAGAGGAAUCACCGAACUUUACAAUAAAAAAGUGAGCACAUACCAUAAAAUCACUUAAAUUCUUUGCAUACGGCAUGCUGUUAGCUACCACCUCCGUUCCAAAAUAUUAUAACAUCUGUCCAAAUUCGUUGUCUUAAAAUUGAUCAAAUUUUAUCCUAAAUCGUAAUAUUUUGGGAUAGAGGAAACAAUAGGCAUAAAGAAAGCUCUGACUCUAUGUAUUGUCAACAUUGGAACAUUAAAAACAAAAGGACAACAAUGUGCGUAUGCACAAGUGUCGCGAAAUGACGUUAAAAGUGCUCGUUGGCCAGCUGGAAAUUGACCAAGUAAAUUUGCUGUUGCGAGCCGGGUGUUCGUUUCAUUUCUGAAGCAACUCUUGAAAGUUCAACAAUGGGGAUCGCCACCUGUAUACUCGUCAUCAUCAGCUGGCUAGCCAUAAUUAAAAAAGACAAGGAAAGAGUCGUUGACUCGGAGGAUGUACACGUUUGCACCUACGUGGAAGCUAUUUUCCAACAAGAUAUAUUUGGAUCAUCAGAUCAGCGUGCGGUAGCUAGAGCUGGUGAGUGGUGACUAGCCAGGUCAUUGUCUCCUAUUCGAGUUCUCUUUUUUUUUUGUUGGCCUUGCAGUGGUUAGUUCGGUGCUAGUAUUCUCCCGGUUUAUGCAUUGGUAUUAUCGGUGUGUGGGUGAUGGUUGUUUUUCUUCGUUUUUCUGGUUAAUUAUGACCUCCUAGUAUUGUAAUCUUAUAUUUUUUUUCUCUAUCGAGUCGUUAAAAAAAUAAGUACUGGCCCUAUGCAGUUGUGCUAGUUGUAGUUUAUGUUGAAACAAAAACGGAGUUUGGUGCUAUGCAGAUGUGCUAGUUGUAGCUUCUGUCAAACCAAAAACGGUUUAUCUAUUAUCUUAGAAGAAAAAAAAUGACAGUCUUUCCCUAUAGCUUAAAUAUUUUGGGCUGAACUAAACUACGGCAUCAAGUUAAUUAAAGGCGUCGAAUUCAAAUAUCUUAACUGACACGCAAUUAAAUAAAAAAAAUCGUUGCUCACUUUUAUUACUCGUUUGGAUUAGCUCAUACACAAUAUAUUAUAGAGAAAAUCCCUUCCGUGCCUCUGAAAACUCGCCCAAUACCUUCCAUACCCUUGAAUUUUACUAGAUCUCCUAUGUACCUUCGUAUUUUCGCUUUAAUCCCUUCCAUAACCCUCACGUUUGGUUUCCGUUAGAUCUGUGACUUAAUCCGUGUGUUACAUUGUAAGUAUUAUUUAAAAAAACCAAGAUACCCCUACCAACCCUAGCUAAACAAAUCCAAUCCUUCUCUUAUCCCAUAUCCUCUCCACGCGAGCAGCAUCCGCGCGCCGCCGGCCACCGCCCUCCCGUCGCACGAGCCACCGUCCAAGGCAUCCCGCCGUGGGCGCCACCAGACAUCGCCUUCCCAUCGUGCAAGCCAAAACCGUCCUCCCUUCGCAGGGGCACGACCCAGCAUCGCCUAGCUAAUUUGGUUUGUCUAUUGCAGCAUUGUGUAUGGAAUGAAAAGUUAGUUUGGUUCCUGCACUAUUGGGUAUGUAAAUGAAAUUGUGGUGUGUGCAUGAUAUGAACUGUUAUGUAGGACUAUGGAAAUGAAAUUGAUAUGAAGUGCUCUGUAUGGAUGCUAUUAUUUUGUAUGAUGCUCCUGAUGCUCUUAUUGAUCCAGGUGUAUUUUGUUUCACAAAUUUCUGUAUGGAUGCUCUUCUCAUUUCCUUCCUAUCAAUUGGUGCUAUUAAUGGUCCUGAUAUUUUUGUUUGGAUGCUCCUGAUGAUUUGCAAUGGAUUUUCUCCUUUGUCCACGGCAAGUUUUGCUUCAUGUUGAUUGUACCAAUUUCUUGUACAGAGGAAACUGGUGUCACUUUGAUUUUCCUAAUCCUAUUAUUUUUUUUCAAAAAAAAGUUCAAUGUAUUGCAUUUUUUCAAUACUACAAUAAUUUUUUUAUACUCCUUAUUUAGUUUCAUAAAAUACACAUAUUGUGCAAUCAACAUUUUUUCAAUUGUUUUCCAAUCUACCUGCUGCUCCUCCAUCUAUAAGGGUAAUAAUACAUUUGCAACCACAUAUAAUUGGAAAAUGAAGGAAACCUAACGGGAGAGGCAUGAAAGGGAUCAAAGCAUAAUUCAAGGGCACAAAGGCGAUCGAGUAAAAUUCUGUGAUAUGGAAGGGAUUGAUCGAGUAUUAUUAUUGUCGUGCAUAAUCCGGGUCACUGAAUUCCGAUCUAAAGGCUAUGAGAGAUUGAUCAAAUGGCUAUGAGACGCUCAUGAUGUGCACUACAAAAUUUUCCACGGACAAUUUAAAAAUUGCCUUUUAAAUCUGGAGUUCCAUAUUCUAGAAACACUUUUAAAGGUAUUUUAAAUAUCGUCUAGAAUAUUUUUACCUUAGAGAUAGUUUUAGCAUAUUUUAAAGAUAUUUUCUAAGUUUAUCUUGGAGAGACAUUUGUAGGUGCUCUAUGAUUUGUCACAUAUGUAAAGGUAUUUUAACCUCUCUAGACUUUUUAGGAGGCUAAUUAAUCUGCAGUAAGUGAUCCAAUUUAAUUUACACGAAGACUCUAUAAUUUAGUGCCAUGAAUAGAACUGAUAAUAUAUUCAAUAAAGCAAUCAAAAUUGACUUGUCUAUCCUUGCAGUAGCUACCAAAUUAAAAGAUAUCGUUUGAAAUGAAAAAGAAAUUAAGGAUAUAAAAGCAUAAGAUGGAUAAUAACAUGCCAUACAUGAAUCACACGUGAAUAAGUGGAGGUAGACAUUAAAGUGUCUACAUGAAAAAAAAAAAGAUCAAAAUUUUUUUUGGAGUAUGGGAGAGAGGCUGUCUUGGUACUAUUUUAGGGAAAAUACCAUGAGGCUUGAGUAAAUGUAUGUUUUCCUCCCCAAAUAAAUACUAUAUGAAAGGGAAGAUGAAUACCCAAAUAUAUUUUUAUAUUCAACACUUUGUUACAGAAUGACACAAAGAUUUUUUUUUUACAGUAGGAAUUAAUUAAAUCCAACAAUAUUUCUUUACUUUCCCUUUAUUCCACAGAUAAGGUAUAUAUGUUAGACAUUCACCAGAUGAUGAAAUCUCUAGAUCAAGAGGAUAGUCAAUCAGGUUAUUUAGAGCAGUCUGGUGAAGUGGGUAUUUGAGCAAUGGCUCAGGGUCGCAAGGAGCACGAAGGAACAAGAAGUAUAUGUCAAAUUAAGGCUUUAUAUUUUAUUUUCGUGAUGACAAAGAAGACGGAGUACGCCCAUAGUUGUAAUUGCACACAAUUAAUUAGCACAUGCCUAAAUAGAUUAGCAAUGUUAGAGCACCCGCAAUGGUAAAGUAAGGUGCUAUAUAAAAUAUGUACAUCUCAGCAAUAGAUUAGAUUAAUAGUAAAUCACUUUAAUGGUAUGUCUACAUGGGUAUCUAUAGCUCUCUAAUCCAUUGCCUCGUUUUUCUCUAUAGACUAUCUCCAGGUUAGUAGAUAGCUUUACUCUAUCUCUUCAUUUAAUCUCUUCCAAGUAGGAAAAUAUGUUGAUAUGGAUCUCUUAUAGAGAGUCUAUAGAUAACUAUUGUGGGUGCCCUUAGAGAUAUAUCACUGCAAACCUCACAAAGUUCUCGUUAUAUUCAUACACUCAUAACUUUCAUAAAUGCGUGUUAAAUUAACAGUCGCACCUUUGUAAUGGGGCUUCUUCCCCUAGCAGCGGAGUGGAUCAUUACCUUCAAAUCUGAUUUUGCUUCCUUGAUCCGCGGAUGGUGAAGUUCCCAACCUCAUAGUAUUCUUCCCAAGAUCGAUCUCAUUGUAGAGUGCAUGGAGAUGUUGCUUAUCAACUUCUUAUGGAGAGCAAAAUGUAGAUCACAAAGGUAGCAUAGCUUGCUAAUUAAGCAGUAAGCACAUGGAGCACGGGUUGGUGUGGAUAUCACAAGCUUCGUUUGCGUUUCGAA
rnacentral:lncRNA from 1 species